rnacentral:lncRNA from 1 species
GAAAGGGUUCAUAUCAUGAAUCAUUACUCUUGUUCAUAUAUUAAAGACUGAAAAGCUGAAAGUGUUACAAUACCUGAAUAAAAAAAUGAUACCUAAAUAGGAUGUCCUGCUAAAAAUUUAAAAUCCAAAAUUGACUUGUUCUGGGCAUGCAGAAUCAAUUGCUUAAUGAAAACUGUUCCUUAAAUUUACAAAUUGAAUAAAGGACACAGAAAAGAAGUGAAAGCAGAGAGAGAUUAAGACAAGGAAGAAGAUGAAAUGGAAGCAGUGAAUGAGUCAUUUCAGUUUAUUUUCUUCAAAAUCCCCAAUCUGGGGGAAAAGAAAAAAGUAUAAGAGGAGGGCUCUGGAGGAUUUUUAAAAAUCCCA